AAGAAGAGGGCUUUUUUCCCCACUCUGUGAAGUUGCUUGCUUGGCUGGAAGUCCAGAGCUAUCAGAGGCCAUCCCUUACCCCGUGAAGGAGCUGUCUUGCAAUAGAAGAAGCAGCCCACCCAAGGAGAGAAACAGGGAAAUUCUUCUUCUUGUGCCCAUACUCUGGAACUUUCCUACGACAAGGAGCAAUUUGCUGUAUGUUUAUUUUCUUUGGAAUCAUCUCUCCUUCAUGGAAGCAGGGUUAUUUAUCAACCUGUGAUGGAGCUCUUCCUGGUUUGGUUAGGGCAUGCUGCAUACUGCUCCUGUAAUAAUGCUUUCUUUGGCCAGGACACAAACCACAGUCAAAAAAGGUCUUCCUGAGUUCUGAAGGUCAAGCAAUUAGAAUUUUCUCAGGCUUGUAGAAGAGUGGAAUUCUGGAAACCAGUCUUCGCCUCAGGGGAGCAUCUGUUGGAAGUUCUUAGGGAUGCUCAGGCAUAUGGCCUCAGAAACAUGGGCUAUUGAGACAGAGAAAAAGACAACUCUGGAAGGAGAGAGCCUGGCCUUACAGAAGACAUCUGAACUAUCAAUCAACAGAAAUCUCACGUAUAGUUGAAGAAUCAGAAAUCUGAGCGUAGGAAGAAGUGGGUUAGCCCUGGAGAAAGGAAAAGGAGGAUCAUGGUUCUCUGCAAAGAGCUGGAAGCUAAAAAGCAGGCUGUGUUUACUUACCAACCAGGACUCAGUGGGAUCUUUGCCAGCUUCCAAUAUGGCCUUAAAAGUAUAUGAAAUCCAAGAAAUAUUUCUGCAAAGCAAGAGAUCUUCACUGCUUUAUUUUCCACCACCUGAAUCCUUGCAGUGAGUGUAGUGUGUAUCUAAUCAAUCUAUUAAAAAAUACUUCAAAAGUUCUA
rnacentral:lncRNA from 1 species